UACGUAGGGAGCAAGCGUUGUCCGGAAUCAUUGGGCGUAAAGCGCGCGUAGGUGGCUUCGUAAGUCCGUUGUGAAAGUCAAAGGCUCAACCUUUGAAAGCCGAUGGAUACUGCGGAGCUAGAGUACGGAAGAGGCGAGUGGAAUUCCUGGUGUAGCGGUGGAAUGCGCAGAUAUCGGGAAGAACACCUAUGGCGAAGGCAGCUCUCUGGGACGGUACUGACGCUGAGACGCGAAAAGCGUGGGGAGCGAACAGG
rnacentral:rRNA from 1 species